rnacentral:tRNA from 7 species
GGUCCCGUAGCUCAACUGGAUAGAGCACCUGACUUCUAAUCAGGAUGUUGAGGGUUCGAGUCCUUCCGGGAUCGCCA